AUGCAAGAACUCCCUUCCUCGCCCAGAAACAGCAAAAGUUUAUCCAUGCCUUUCCUUGGGCUUGCUGCUGUCCUCCUGCUCUUCUUUGCCUCUCAUACCAGCUCCUGCACGGAGCAGGAGAGUAGCUCUCUCAUCAACUUCCUAGAUGGGCUCAUGCCAGAUGGCAACGGUGGUCUCAACGAUUCAUGGGUGAAUGGCACAGACUGCUGCAAAUGGGAAGGCAUAAUCUGCAGCAGCGAUGGGACAGUCACAGAUGUCUUGCUGGCCACCAGAGGUCUCAAAGGGGGCAUCUCGCCAUCCCUCGUCAAUCUUACAGGCCUGUUGCACCUCAACCUGUCCCAGAAUUCGCUCGAAGGCAGUCUACCAACAGAAUUAGUUUUCUCCAGAAGCAUUAUUGGCCUCGACAUCAGCUUCAACCGCCUCGAAGGUCAUCUACAAGAGAUGCAAUCCUCAAAUCCCAGCUUUCCUCUCCAGGUACUGAACAUCUCAAGCAAUUUCUUCAUGGGACAGUUCCCAAAAACAGCAUGGGAGGUAAUGAAGAACCUGGUUGCUCUUAAUGCAAGCAAUAACAGCUUUACAGGACAAAUACCAUCCUUUCUCUGCAUCAAUGCCCCAUCAUUUGCCAUGCUCGACCUGUCAUAUAACCAAUUCAGCGGCAAUAUUUCUCUGGGGCUUGGAAGUUGCUCUAUGCCGAGAGUGCUCAAAGCUGGCCACAACAACCUUACUGGAGCUCUCCCUGACGGACUCUUCAAUGCUACCUCACUGGACCACCUCUCUUUAGCCAACAAUGGUUUGCCAGGAGUUCUUGAUGGUUCCAACAUAGUCAAAUUAAGCAGUCUGACUGUCCUUGAUCUUGGAUCGACUGGUCUCAGUGGCAAGAUUUCAGAUUCUGUCGGCCAGCAAAGAAGAUUAAAGAAACUCUACUUGGAUAAUAACAGUAUGUCUGGUGAACUGCCAUUGGCCCUUGGUAACUGUUCAAAUCUCGGAUACAUUACCCUCAGAAACAACAGUUUUACCGGGGAUCCUAGCAAAGUGAAUUUCACCAUGUUGGAUCUGAGGACAGCUGAUUUUUCAAUGAACAACUUCACUGGUACAAUUCCUGAAAGUAUCUACUCAUACAGCAACCUAGUUGUGUUGCGCUUGGCUUUCAAUAAAUUUCAUGGCCAGUUCUCACCAAGCAUUGGAAAUCUCAGGUCCCUCUCCUUCUUUUCAAUUACCGGCAACUCUUUUACAAAUAUCACAAAUGCACUUAAGAUGCUCAAUAGCUGCAAGAAUCUCACCUCCCUGAUGAUGGGAACCAAUUUCAAGGGUGAAACCAUACCACAUGAUGAAACAUUUGAUGGUUUUGAGGAUCUUCAGGUAUUGACCAUAGAUGAUUGCCCAUUGACCGGGCAAAUCCCUCUUUGGAUAUCAAAGCUUGCAAAAUUGGAGGUGCUAGAUUUAUCAUUAAAUCAACUCACUGGACAAAUACCAUCCUGGAUUGAUGGACUAGGCUUCCUGUUCUUUCUAGAUAUAUCAAGCAACAAACUUACAGGGGAUAUACCAGCUGCAUUGACAAAGAUGCCGAUGUUACUAUCAGAGAGAAAUGCUGCCAAGUUGGACACAAGGUUCCUUGAGUUGCCUGUAUUUUUUACGCCAUCACGUCAAUACUGGACGGUCGGUGCUUUUCCCGGCAAAUUGUGUCUGGACAACAAUAAUUUCACUGGUGUAAUUCCCCCUGAGAUUGGUGAGCUAAAAAUGCUUGACAUCCUGAAUUUAAGCUCCAACAGCUUAACUGGUGAAAUACCACAAGAAAUCUGCAACCUCACAAACCUGCAAAUGCUUGAUCUGUCGAACAACCAGCUCACAGGUGCAAUACCAUCUGCACUGAAUGGACUGCACUUCCUUUCUAGAUUUAAUGUUUCUAACAACAAACUAGAAGGGGAAGUUCCAAGUGGAGGACAGUUUGAUUCUUUUUCAAAUUGUAGCUACAGUGGGAAUCCAAAGCUAUGCGGACCUAUGAUCAGCAAUGACUGCAACUCAAGAACAUUUUCAGCCUCUGGGAAGCGACGGAACAACUUGCGUCAUGCAUUAGUUAUUGGAAUCACCGUGGGGGAUUCAUUGCUCUUAUUUUGCUUGCAUGCUUCCUUAUUGCAAGGUUAG
rnacentral:rRNA from 1 species